CACGUAGGGGCCAAGCGUUGUCCGGAUUCAUUGGGCGUAAAGAGCUCGUAGGCGGUUCAGUUAGUCGGGUGUGAAAUCUCCGGGCUCAACCUCGAGCUGUCGGUGGAAACUGUCUGGCUAGAGUCCGGAAGAGGAGAAUGGAAUUCCUGGUGUAGCGGUGAAAUGCGCAGAUAUCAGGAAGAACACCCGUGGCGAAGGCGGUUCUCUGGGACGGUACUGACGCUGAGACGCGAAAGCGUGGGGAGCGAACAGG
rnacentral:rRNA from 1 species